rnacentral:rRNA from 1 species
GACGAACGCUGGCGGCGUGCCUAAUACAUGCAAGUUGAGCGAUGAAGAUUGGUGCUUGCACCAAUUUGAAGAGCAGCGAACGGGUGAGUAACGCGUGGGGAAUCUGCCUUUGAGCGGGGGACAACAUUGGGAAACGAAUGCUAAUACCGCAUAACAACUUUAAACAUAAGUUUUAAGUUUGAAAGAUGCAAUUGCAUCACUCAAAGAUGAUCCCGCGUUGUAUUAGCUAGUUGGUGAGGUAAAGGCGCACCAAGGCGAUGAUACAUAGCCGACCUGAGAGGGUGAGCGGCCACAUUGGGACUGGGACACGGCCCAAACUCCUACGGGAGGCAGCAGGAGGGAAUCUUCGGCAAUGGACGAAAGUCUGACCGAGCAACGCCGCGGGAGUGAAGAAGGUUGUCGGAUCGUAAAACUCUGUUGGUAGAGAAGAACGUUGGUGAGAGUGGAAAGCUCAUCAAGUGACGGUAACUACCCAGAAAGGGACGGCUAACUACGUG